rnacentral:rRNA from 1 species
AGAACGAACGCUGGCGGCAUGCCUAACACAUGCAAGUCGAACGAGACCUUCGGGUCUAGUGGCGCACGGGUGCGUAACGCGUGGGAAUCUACCCUUGGGUUCGGAAUAACAGUUGGAAACGACUGCUAAUACCGGAUAAUGACGUAAGUCCAAAGAUUUAUCGCCCAGGGAUGAGCCCGCGUAGGAUUAGCUAGUUGGUGAGGUAAAGGCUCACCAAGGCGACGAUCCUUAGCUGGUCUGAGAGGAUGAUCAGCCACACUGGGACUGAGACACGGCCCAGACUCCUACGGGAGGCAGCAGUGGGGAAUAUGGACAAUGGGCGAAAGCCUGAUCCAGCAAUGCCGCGUGAGUGAUGAAGGCCUUAGGUUGUAAAGCUCUUUACCCGGGAAGAUAAUGACUGUACCGGAGAAUAAGCUCGGCUAACUCCGUGCCAGCAGCCGC